GGACUUUUUCUCUACUUACCGAGUACAUAUGUAGGUAACAUGGAUACAAAGUAUGUCCAGGCACACAUGUACCUUCACGUAGGUACUUACAUAGCAAAUGCAAAUCCCUCUUUCUUUGCUUAAAUGCAAAGGUUUUGUCUAGAAAACCUUGCAAGGAAACUGUUACGCAGUAGAAGAUGACACCACAAAUAUUUCACCCAAGUGUGUUUGGUGAAAAAUAGGAGCCCUGCAGCUUGUUUUUGGGACAAUUCUUCCUAUGUAACUGGGUGCUUGGAUAGAGGAUAAUUGUAUCAGCUUUUUUGGUAUUUCUACCCUUGUUUUUCAACCACUACCUUUAGAUUGUCUUUUGGGGGAUUUUUUGUGAACACUUUCAGGUGACCAUGGUUGGAGUUGUUUUUUGAAAUCCCCUGCAGGGUGAAAGUGUGGUGGUCAGCCGGAUACCUGGAGAGACUAGGGCAGGUGUAAAGCUUUAUUUAAGUAGGAUGCUCAAAUAAUUACCUCCCACUCUUUCACAGCUUGUGCUGUUUCAUGCACAUGACUGCUGCGUGGCACAGCUGAACUUCUCAAAGCUGUGAGAUGCCAGGACUGAUCAGCUGUGCCUUGAGCAGGGGAGAGGACACUGUGCUAUUAGCGAGGUGCUAGGAGUAUUAGUACUGGAUCCAGCGCUCAAAGCUCCCACUCUGGUCAUUUGCUGAUACUGCUAUAGAGUAUGCCGGUGGAAAUCAGUUCUCUGAACUUAAUGAAAGUUUUGCAGGAUGGUUAAGGUUGACAUGGACCAGUGGAGGUCAUCUCAUCCAUCUGCCCUGCUCAAGCAGGGCCACUUAGAACUUGUUGCCCAGAACAGUGUUCAAAAGGCUUUUAAAUAUCUCCAAGGACAGGAACUCCACAACCUAUCUUCCUGUGCUUGACUAUCCUAGAA